CAUUUCCAAAGCUGAGACUUUUUUAGCCACUCAGAUGGCUGGGACAUAGCCAGUUUUUGGGAGAUGCCCUCCCUUCUCACUAGAAAGUAGUUGUACUGGUUUCUUAGAAAGUAGUGUUUGUGCAGCUCUGAGAGCACCAGUAGCCUAGGGCUACACCUACUCCUAUGGCUGUCACAGGAGCCCUUGUACUACCCAGGGCUGCCUCACAGGGUGUCACUUGGAGACAAAUGAGCUUGGCAGUGGGGGUAUCACCAAGCGUCACCUGCCUGAAGAGCCCACAGCACCUCUGGUCCAUCUUAGCUGGCAUCUGGCUUUGCUGACAUGCUGACUUGUGAAUCCUGCUUAAGUCUCUCACUGCUGAAUCAUGUAUCCUUUUGAGCCACAGUUCCUUCAUCUGGAAAGUGGGUAGCAUCUGCACCUCACAGUGCUGACAAAAUGGGUCAGUGCUUAGUGCAGUGCCUACCAAACAGCAGCUGAUUCAUGGCCCAAAGCUCUCCCCAGCAGGCCAUCCUGGCCUGGCGGUGCAGUGCUGCUCCAUAUCUUAACAGGGUUUCAGCAAUGUGGGGGUCAACCAUGCAAGUAAGUGUGGGUUAUCUAAGGAUGUCCUCCCCAAACAAAUAUUCCAAGAUUCAUAAGUCUGGAAAUAGGACUGAGGAUCAGGAGCCAGACAAGGGAACAUGGAAAGGCCGCUGAGUUACAAGUUGGGGGCUUUCACUCAGUUGCUGC